rnacentral:lncRNA from 1 species
GGGCUGAAAUCAAAUUUUAUAUUUAAUAGGGGCUAAAUUGUAAAUUCUCAUAAAAACUUCAUUUAGUAAAUUGGGUUCGGAUUCGAGUUAAAAUCCAAAACCUGAAACCCGUUAAGAGGUUUCUCCUCCUUCCUCACGAUUGAGCGGCAGAGAAUAGGGGGCCAACACCUGUGCCCCUUCCGUCCAAAAACCUCGCUGAUGAUCGUUGGUGCCUCCAAUCAACAGUCCGACACAUCUUUCAGCUAGAAGACGCCAGUUCAUCGACGAUCAAGAGAGGGGAACCAUCGGCAAAUCGAGAUCCAGUGGUUUCCUUUUUUUUUGUUUGAAAACGAAGGAGUUAGAGCCGGCAUCCGAUACCACUGUCCGUUAGGAUAGCUGCCGCAUGCCCGAAUAGCACCAUCGAUCGGAUGGCCACAUGCCGUAAUGGCAUGGAUGGAGGAGGAUGCCACAGCGAUGAGAACCAUCACCCUUCUACUUUUUUUUUUGGAUCCUUGGAUCCAGACGCAAAUUGCCGGUCCUUCACCGGCGGCUGAUCUCGAUCACCAUCGAAACUUCCUCUUCCAUGCCAGC